GGAUGCUCUGAUUGGCCGGUGCAGGCCGGUGGGCGGGUUCUUGGGGCGGUUGCCCGUUCGGCGCGGAGGCGGGAAGGGCGGACGCUGAGUCCUGUCAGCGGGCGAAUUAGCCGAUCGUCGCCCAAAGUUCAUCACCCUUUCGGAUUCUUUUUCAGAAGUAAUGGCGAAUUAUAUUUAUCAUGCACUGUUAUAACUGAUUACGAUCGAUUUGACUGGAUGGUGAAUGGCAUCGCAACGGAAGUAACGGUUUUGUCAAGCGAUGAGUGGCUGGGAGUCCUGUCAAUAACGAACGUCUCCUGUUUGCUGAUUGCUCUGGAGAUCUUUGCACACAAAAUGCUGGAGUAACUCAGCGGGGCAGGCAGCAUCUUUGGAGAGCAGGAAUGGUUGACGUUUCGGGUCGAGACCCUUCUUCAGGCUGACAGUCAGAGGAGAGGGAGACGGAGAGAUAUGUGGAUGGGUGUCCCUCAGGAUCAAGGAUGACCUGCUUCUACUCUUCUUCUGUGAGUUCUGAUGUGGCCAAUUUUGGACCUGAAGACUCUGUCACAAGUGGACUCGAUAAGAAGAAGAAACCCUAAAUGAGAAGUAUUCAAUGCGACAUUCCAACAUCUGAAGAAGUUCAGAAAAACCUCUGAAGGUCUGAAGACCCAAAACGUCACCCAUUCCUUCUCUCCAGAGAUGCUGCCUGUUCUCCUGAGUUACUCCUGCGUUUUGUGUCUAUCUUUGGUUUAAACCAGCAUCUGCAGUUUCUUCUUACACAUUCCAACAUGUUUCAUGAUCGAUGCAUAUUUCUUCCAACCUCAUCCAUUGGAUUUGUUGCUCUCGAUGUGGCCUCCUCUAGUUCGGUGAGACCAAGCGUAGAUGAGGUGACCGUUUUGUGUGGGACACCUGCGUUCCGUGCGCAAUGACUAAAUUCAGCUUCUCACUGUGGGAAUAACAUUUCAACGCCCCUCCCUGCUCCCACGCUGACCUGUCCAUCCUCAGCAUUUUCCGCUGUCACGGUAAUAAGGCCAAACAAAAAGUAGAAAACACUGCAUAUUCCACUUGGGUAGCCUCCAACAUUGCAUUUUCUAAUUUUACGUAACUCACAAUCCCUGUGUUCUUUUCUCAUUCCAACAGAUCCACCUAAGUUUCAUAUCUCUCUUUGUUCUUCUUUUCCUAUCCCCAGUCCCCAUGUUACCUGGAUUUGUUACGCUCCCCCUUCUAGCUCCACCAGCCUGUCAGCUGCUGGAGCUGCUGCCUCACAGCAUCAGAAACCCAGACCUUGGGUGUUAUCUGUGUGAAGUUUGUAUGGGAACUGCUCUGCCCAGGAUAAGAAGGCUCUGCAGAGAGUAAUGCGUUCGGCCGAACGCACUCUGGGUACUUCACUCGCCCCCCUGCAGGAACUAUACAUCAGAAGGUGCAGAUCCAGGGCCAACAAGAUCAUGGGAGACCCCUUCCAUCCCAGCAACAGACUGUUCCAGCUGCUACGGUCAGGCAAACGCCUCCGUUGCCAUGCUGUGAGAACGGAGAGGAUGAGAAGGAGUUUCUUCCCAGAGGCCAUUAGGACUAUAAACUCCUAUCUCACCAGGGACUAACUUUACUGAACCAUUUUACUGUUGUGUGGUGUCUUUUUUUAAAUUGCAGUUUUUCUACCUUUUUCUUCCCUCCCACAAAUAUGUAAUAUGUGAAUAUGUGAUUCUGUUCCAUUAAGUUUGUAAUUUGUUUGUUUG